UACGUAGGGGGCAAGCGUUGUCCGGAUUUAUUGGGCGUAAAGCGCGUGUAGGCGGCCAGAUAGGUCCGCUGUGAAAGCUCGAGGCUUAACCUCGAAAAGUCGGCGGAAACCAUCUGGCUAGAGUCCGGAAGAGGAGAGUGGAAUUCCCGGUGUAGCGGUGAAAUGCGCAGAUAUCAGGAAGAACACCCGUGGCGAAGGCGGCUCUCUGGGACGGUACUGACGCUGAGACGCGAAAGCGUGGGGAGCGAACAGG
rnacentral:rRNA from 1 species